rnacentral:rRNA from 1 species
CACAAGGGGUGAAGCCUGCGGUUCAAUUGGAGUCAACGCCAGAAAUCUUACCCGGAGAGACAGCAGAAUGAAGGUCAAGCUGAAGACUUUACCAGACAAGCUGAGAGGUGGUGCAUGGCCGUCGCCAGCUCGUGCCGUGAGAUGUCCUGUUAAGUCAGGUAACGAGCGAGAUCCCUGCCUCUAGUUGCCACCAUUACUCUCAGGAGUAGUGGGGCGAAUUAGCGGGACCGCCGCAGUUAAUGCGGAGGAAGGAAGGGACCACGGCAGGUCAGUAUGCCCCGAAACUCUGGGGCCACACGCGGGCUGCAAUGGUAACGACAAUUGGUUUCGAAUCCGAAAGGAUGAGGUAAUCCUCAAACGUUACCACAGUUAUGACUGAGGGCUGCAACUCGCCCUCACGAAUAUGGAAUCCCUAGUAACUGCGUGUCAUUAUCGCGCGGUGAAUACGUCCCUGCUCCUUGCACACACCGCCCGUCGUUUCAUUGAAGUGAGCUUUUAGCGAGGUGACGUCUAAUUGGCGUUAUCGAACUUGAGGUUCGUGACAAGGGAAAAGUCGUAACAAGGUGACCGUAGGGGAACCUGCGGUCGGAUCACCUCCUU